rnacentral:rRNA from 1 species
AUGGCCCCGAAGAGAGAAACGUCUGCAACAGUGGCGCAAGCAUUGCCCCUUCAUCUCCAACACGACCCGUCCGGCUUGCCACUUCAGUACGUGUACGAGUCCUGUCCCAAGCUUCUGCAGCCGGUGACCACUUUUUCAGACGAGUUCCUACAGGAGACGAGGGAAGUGCGGUGGCACGAGAGGGCAGAACGGAUCUCCGAUGAUCAGAAGUGUUGGGCACAGAGUGCGAAGGAGUGGAAGAGAGUGAUUGCAGAGAUGGAGGGAGAUCCAACUAUCUCCCAAGAACGCCGGGAAUGGAACAUUGAAGCUGCCAAGCAGCGCUCCAACUGGGAGCUGCGUAAUUUGGGCUGGAGGAUCUACUUCGAGAGCAAUGCGGAGGAGAGAGUCAGGAUGCCGCCCCCAAGUGCAUCGGCGUUCGAUAUCAUCAACUGGGAAAGGGCGGAGGCGAAAACUCCAGCGGGAAAGGCCAGGUGGGACUGCUUGAACGGUCGGAUGCCGACCAGUGUUCCACCUCCGCCUGAACCGGUGGAUCCGCUGCCGUAUCUGUCUCCACGGCCAUGCCUAACAUACAAGGGGGGGAGGUUUGUCCGCCCCAUAAACAUGUCGAUUGCAUAUGUAUCUCUGUUUUAG